CGGCGUGCUUAACACAUGCAAGUCGAACGGAAAGGCCCUGCUUUUGUGGGGUGCUCGAGUGGCGAACGGGUGAGUAACACGUGAGUAACCUGCCCUUGACUUUGGGAUAACUUCAGGAAACUGGGGCUAAUACCGGAUAGGAGCUCCUGCUGCAUGGUGGGGGUCGGAAAGUUUCGGCGGUUGGGGAUGGACUCGCGGCUUAUCAGCUUGUUGGUGGGGUAGUGGCUUACCAAGGCUUUGACGGGUAGCCGGCCUGAGAGGGUGACCGGCCACAUUGGGACUGAGAUACGGCCCAGACUCCUACGGGAGGCAGCAGUGGGGAAUAUUGCACAAUGGGCGGAAGCCUGAUGCAGCAACGCCGCGUGCGGGAUGACGGCCUUCGGGUUGUAAACCGCUUUCGCCUGUGACGAAGCGUGAGUGACGGUAAUGGGUAAAGAAGCACCGGCUAACUACGUGCCAGCAGCCGCGGUGAUACGUAGGGUGCGAGCGUUGUCCGGAUUUAUUGGGCGUAAAGGGCUCGUAGGUGGUUGAUCGCGUCGGAAGUGUAAUCUUGGGGCUUAACCCUGAGCGUGCUUUCGAUACGGGUUGACUUGAGGAAGGUAGGGGAGAAUGGAAUUCCUGGUGGAGCGGUGGAAUGCGCAGAUAUCAGGAGGAACACCAGUGGCGAAGGCGGUUCUCUGGGCCUUUCCUGACGCUGAGGAGCGAAAGCGUGGGGAGCGAACAGGCUUAGAUACCCUGGUAGUCCACGCUGUAAACGGUGGGUACUAGGUGUGGGGUCCAUUCCACGGGUUCCGUGCCGUAGCUAACGCUUUAAGUACCCCGCCUGGGGAGUACGGCCGCAAGGCUAAAACUCAAAGGAAUUGACGGGGCCCCGCACAAGCGGCGGAGCAUGCGGAGUAAUUCGAUGCAACGCGUAGAACCUUACCUGGGUUUGACAUGGAUCGGGAGUGCUCAGAGAUGGGUGUGCCUCUUUUGGGGUCGGUUCACAGGUGGUGCAUGGCUGUCGUCAGCUCGUGUCGUGAGAUGUUGGGUUAAGUCCCGCAACGAGCGCAACCCUUGUUCACUGUUGCCAGCACGUUAUGGUGGGGACUCAGUGGAGACCGCCGGGGUCAACUCGGAGGAAGGUGGGGAUGACGUCAAGUCAUCAUGCCCCUUAUGUCCAGGGCUUCACGCAUGCUACAAUGGCUGGUACAGAGAGUGGCGAGCCUGUGAGGGUGAGCGAAUCUCGGAAAGCCGGUCUCAGUUCGGAUUGGGGUCUGCAACUCGACCUCAUGAAGUCGGAGUCGCUAGUAAUCGCAGAUCAGCAACGCUGCGGUGAAUACGUUCCCGGGGCUUGUACACACCGCCCGUCAAGUCAUGAAAGUUGGUAACACCCGAAGCCGGUGGCCUAACCGUUGUGGGGGAGCCGUCGAAGGUGGGACUGGUGAUUAGG
rnacentral:rRNA from 1 species